rnacentral:tRNA from 1 species
GUUCUUGUAGUAUAAUGGUGAGUAUCCUCGCCUGUCACGCGGGAGACCCGGCUUCGAUCCCUGGCAACGGCG